rnacentral:rRNA from 1 species
GGCCGCGGGAUUAGAGUUUGAUCAUGGCUCAGAUUGAACGCUGGCGGCAGGCCUAACACAUGCAAGUCGAGCGGAAACGACACUAACAAUCCUUCGGGUGCGUUAAAGGGCGUCGAGCGGCGGACGGGUGAGUAAUGCCUAGGAAAUUGCCUUGAUGUGGGGGAUAACCAUUGGAAACGAUGGCUAAUACCGCAUAAUGCCUACGGGCCAAAGAGGGGGAUCUUCGGACCUCUCGCGUCAAGAUAUGCCUAGGUGGGAUUAGCCAGUUGGUGAGGUAAUGGCUCACCAAGGCGACGAUCCCUAGCUGGUCUGAGAGGAUGAUCAGCCACACUGGAACUGAGACACGGUCCAGACUCCUACGGGAGGCAGCAGUGGGGAAUAUUGCACAAUGGGCGAAAGCCUGAUGCAGCCAUGCCGCGUGUAUGAAGAAGGCCUUCGGGUUGUAAAGUACUUUCAGUUGUGAGGAAGGGGGUAACGUUAAUAGCGUUAUCUCUUGACGUUAGCAACAGAAGAAGCACCGGCUAACUCCGUGCCAGCAGCCGCGGUAAUACGGAGGGUGCGAGCGUUAAUCGGAAUUACUGGGCGUAAAGCGCAUGCAGGUGGUUCAUUAAGUCAGAUGUGAAAGCCCGGGGCUCAACCUCGGAACUGCAUUUGAAACUGGUGAACUAGAGUGCUGUAGAGGGGGGUAGAAUUUCA